CCAUUAUUGAAUUUCUUUUGACAUCUAUCUUUAUUACUAAGGUUAGAUAUUUUUCUAUAUAUUCUAUAGUCUUAUUUGUUAAUAAUCUAGUGGUAUUUAUUUAUUAGGUUUAAUAUAGCCUCAAAAGAUUUUUUGCUUUCUUCUUUUUAGGGAUCUUUUGAGCUCUCUUAUCAAACUUCUUUUUGGAUUUUAUAUGUUUUCUUAUAUGUAGUUUAUCU
rnacentral:lncRNA from 1 species